CCUACGGGUGGCAGCAGUCGAGAAUCAUUCACAAUGGGGGAAACCCUGAUGGUGCGACGCCGCGUGGGGGAAUGAAGUUCUUCGGAUUGUAAACCCCUGUCAUGUGGGAGCAAAUUAAAAAGAUAGUACCACAAUAGGAAGAGACGGCUAACUCUGUGCCAGCAGCCGCGGUAAUACAGAGGUCUCAAGCGUUGUUCGGAAUCACUGGGCGUAAAGCGUGCGUAGGCUGUUUCGUAAGGCGGGGGUGAAAGGCGCGGGCUCAACCCGCGGACGGCACAUGAUACUGCGAGACUAGAGUAAGGGAGGGGGAACCGGAAUUCUCGGUGGAGCAGGGAAAUGCGUAGAUAUCGAGAGGAACACUCGUGGCGAAGGCGGGUUCCUGGACAUUAACUGACGCUGAGGCACGAAGGCCAGGGGAGCGAAAGGGAUUAGAUACCCGAGUAGUC
rnacentral:rRNA from 1 species